UGUAUUAAGACUCAUUCCAUGUUACUGUUAGGGAACUCUUGUUUGAUCCAAUGUUUUGGUUUGAUACCUGAUUAUGUUUAUCUAGUGUUCUCUUAGGUCAGGGCAUUUUUUCUGGUACAUUUUUAUCAGAGAUCAAUAAUUUCAUACUUAUUUUCAAAUUUUUUAAAAUCAAAGUCACAGUGGUCAGAUCCAACUAGCUGUUUCUGCUUGAGGCAAAUUGGCACGUCUUUAUUUAAAAAAAAAAAAAGUGUCCAUAUAUUCACCAUCUGUUUUUUCCUGGUAAUUUUAUAAUUUCUUUCUGGACCUUGAGGUCCCAUAUUAUAUCUUGUCAAGUUUUUGUGACUGAUGAAACAUAGUUAUGGUAUCUGUUUAGGGUUUGAUAGUACUAGCUUUUCUGCAUCUGUAAGAUUAUUUAAGCCAAAAGUGAAGUGAACUUUAACUGUUACUAGAAAUUCAAAUAUUCAAGGGAUUGGUUAACAUUCAUUACCAUUUUUCUCCCGGGUCAUGUUAUUGAUUUGUUAAAAGGAAUUCUUGGUGAUCUUUAUGUACUGACAUAAGAACUUCAUAACCCCAAGGGUUGGGCUUAGUGGUGAAAGCCCUUGGUUAAAAUUCCGUUGGGCCAGACCUAGUUGGGACAUCUUGUUUGUGGGGUCCGGAGUAACUCACAGUUUAGAGUUCAGUGAAUAUGCAGAGAAACCCUAGAGAUGUCUGGGUAUCGAGUACUGUUUUUUUCCUUUGUAUGUCUUUCUUUCAUGUUUUGCUGAUAUAGCACUAAGAUUCCUCUAUCAUUGCAGACAGCUUUCAGGGUUAAAGCAAAAGAAUUUCACCCAGAUCACAACCAGGAUAAUAAAGAGGCUGCCGAGGUAAAAUUUAAGGAGGUAAUGGUGUCCUAUGAAGCUAUAAAGCAACAAAGGUAGGACAUGAAGUGAAGUGGCAAAUGUUCCACUGUUUUCAAAACAAAGCUCCAAUAUGUUUAACAGUAUCAUUCAACUUUCCUCCUGACUGUAUUUAGUUGUUGACAGAAGUCAUGGGUCCUCCGCGAUUUAAUAUUCCAGGAAGGAUCCGAGUAUGAAAUUUAGUGUUGAUGUUCUGCCAUUGUUGGAUCUCCAACAGAGACAUUGGUAUAAUUUGUUAACCCUAAACUUAUCCUUGAAUUAAAUCAUCUCUGUAGAUACCAUGGUUACAAAUUAUUUCCUUUUUCACUUGUUUGAA